GAUGAACGCUGGCGGCGUGCCUAAUACAUGCAAGUCGAGCGAACAGACGAGGAGCUUGCUCCUCUGACGUUAGCGGCGGACGGGUGAGUAACACGUGGAUAACCUACCUAUAAGACUGGGAUAACUUCGGGACACCGGAGCUAAUACCGGAUAAUAUAUUGAACCGCAUGGUUCAAUAGUGAAAGACGGUUUUGCUGUCACUUAUAGAUGGAUCCGCGCCGCAUUAGCUAGUUGGUAAGGUAACGGCUUACCAAGGCAACGAUGCGUAGCCGACCUGAGAGGGUGAUCGGCCACACUGGAACUGAGACACGGUCCAGACUCUUACGGGAGGCAGCAGUAGGGAAUCUUCCGCAAUGGGCGAAAGCCUGACGGAGCAACGCCGCGUGAGUGAUGAAGGUCUUCGGAUCGUAAAACUCUGUUAUUAGGGAAGAACAAAUGUGUAAGUAACUAUGCACGUCUUGACGGUACCUAAUCAGAAAGCCACGGCUAACUACGUG
rnacentral:rRNA from 1 species